CCUAUAAGACUGGGAUAACUUCGGGAAACCGGAGCUAAUGCCGGAUAACAUUUGGAACCGCAUGGUUCUAAAGUAAAAGAUGGUUUUGCUAUCACUUAUAGAUGGACCCGCGCCGUAUUAGCUAGUUGGUAAGGUAACGGCUUACCAAGGCAACGAUACGUAGCCGACCUGAGAGGGUGAUCGGCCACACUGGAACUGAGACACGGUCCAGACUCCUACGGGAGGCAGCAGUAGGGAAUCUUCCGCAAUGGACGAAAGUCUGACGGAGCAACGCCGCGUGAGUGAUGAAGGUUUUCGGAUCGUAAAACUCUGUUAUUAGGGAAGAACAAAUGUGUAAGUAACUGUGCACAUCUUGACGGUACCUAAUCAGAAAGCCACGGCUAACUACGUGCCAGCAGCCGCGGUAAUACGUAGGUGGCAAGCGUUAUCCGGAAUUAUUGGGCGUAAAGCGCGCGUAGGCGGUUUCUUAAGUCUGAUGUGAAAGCCCACGGCUCAACCGUGGAGGGUCAUUGGAAACUGGGAAACUUGAGUACAGAAGAGGAAAGUGGAAUUCCAUGUGUAGCGGUGAAAUGCGCAGAGAUAUGGAGGAACACCAGUGGCGAAGGCGACUUUCUGGUCUGUAACUGACGCUGAUGUGCGAAAGCGUGAGGAUCAAACAGGAUUAGAUACCCUGGUAGUCCACGCCGUAAACGAUGAGUGCUAAGUGUUAGGGGGUUUCCGCCCCUUAGUGCUGCAGCUAACGCAUUAAGCACUCCGCCUGGGGAGUACGACCGCAAGGUUGAAACUCAAA
rnacentral:rRNA from 1 species